GAAAAGGACUCGGCAGUGCUCGCACUUGAAGGCCCUUAUCUGUUCUCCUUCUCCAUUGAAAACCUUAUAGAUGUCCUUCAGAGAGCCCUUGGUGGCCUUGGUAGCAUCCAAAGCCUUGACAUCCUCCUUCAUAUGUGUCCAGAUGUGUGACAAUGAUACCCUGUAUGCCAGUUGUUAGUCUGCUUGAUUCUUCUUGUUUCAAAGAUGAUCCACAAGAUACAGCAUGGAUGAAGAAUGAUGCCAACACUGGGUAUACCAGAGAGU